GAUGAACGCUGACAGAAUGCUUAACACAUGCAAGUCAACUUGAAUUUGGGUUUUUAACUUAGAUUUGGGUGGCGGACGGGUGAGUAACGCGUAAAGAACUUGCCUCACAGCUAGGGACAACAUUUAGAAAUGAAUGCUAAUACCUGAUAUUAUGAUUUUAAGGCAUCUUAGAAUUAUGAAAGCUAUAAGCACUGUGAGAGAGCUUUGCGUCCCAUUAGCUAGUUGGAGAGGUAACAGCUCACCAAGGCGAUGAUGGGUAGCCGGCCUGAGAGGGUGAACGGCCACAAGGGGACUGAGACACGGCCCUUACUCCUACGGGAGGCAGCAGUGGGGAAUAUUGGACAAUGGACCGAGAGUCUGAUCCAGCAAUUCUGUGUGCACGAUGAAGUUUUUCGGAAUGUAAAGUGCUUUCAGUUGGGAAGAAAUAAAUGACGGUACCAACAGAAGAAGUGACGGCUAAAUACGUGCCAGCAGCCGCGGUAAUACGUAUGUCACGAGCGUUAUCCGGAUUUAUUGGGCGUAAAGCGCGUCUAGGUGGUUAUGUAAGUCUGAUGUGAAAAUGCAGGGCUCAACUCUGUACUGCGUUGGAAACUGUAUAACUAGAGUACUGGAGAGGUAAGCGGAACUACAAGUGUAGAGGUGAAAUUCGUAGAUAUUUGUAGGAAUGCCGAUGGGGAAGCCAGCUUACUGGACAGAUACUGACGCUAAAGCGCGAAAGCGUGGGUAGCAAACAGG
rnacentral:rRNA from 1 species